AUCAUACUCCCUCCGUCCGAAAAUACUUGUCCUAGAAAUAGAUGUAUCUAGACUUAUUUUAGUUAUAGAUACAUCCAUUUUAUUCAUUUCUAGGGCAAGUAUUUCCGGACGGAGGGAGUAUGUU
rnacentral:pre_miRNA from 1 species